rnacentral:lncRNA from 1 species
CCUUUGAAAUAUCCCAGCUGAGGCCAUUCUAGGUCUAGCCAACCCCCAACAUGUCAGAGUCCAGCCUAAAUCAGCACAGCCACAUUACCUGCCACCGACCAUGAAUGCAGGCAUGAGCAAAGAGGACAUCGUAUGAGCCACCCGGAAAACUCAUAGACUCAUGAGCAAUAAUAAACAUUUUAAGCCACUGAGUUUUAGGGUGAUGCGUUAUGAAGCAAUAGCUAACUGCUAUACCGAUUGAAUAUUGCCUUAAAAAGGAGAGGGUGACCAACUGUCUUGAAUGCUGCUUAGUGUUCAAGUAAAAUAGGACAGAGAUGUGACUGUUAGAUUUACAUAUGUGGAGGAGGAGUUUGAGGAGAGAAAGUGUGGUGAGAAAGCUAGAGAUAGCAGUUAUAGAUAACUACAAAACUAUAAAAAUGAUCAGAGAAAUGGGGCUGCAGCUUGAGACAGAUGUGUGUCAAGCACGUGUUUCUUGUCUGGACUAGGAAAUGUUAUCGCAUAUUCAUAUGCUGAUUGAAAUUCCUCUAGAGGAGAAAGAAUCUCUAUGACGAAUAGAGAGGGGAACUAUUGCAGAAGCAAAGUCCUUGAGAAGGCAGGAAGCCUAGAAUUCAGAUCCGAAGUAGAAGAAUUGGCCUUCAACAGGAAGAUGACCAUGGGCAUGGAUUGACAAACAUAGUAGAUGCUUGCAGCCACUCAAUGACAUCACAUAGCUGUCUGAGGCUCUAGAAGGUGCUCUGCUGCUAAAAGGAGCAUUAUAAAGAGUGUUUGAAUACCUCCAUGGGAACAGAAAAGCAAUGUGUGUGGAAGGAUAUUCAACAAUGUGUUGUUGGAAGACCAAGUGCAUUUUGCUGAAAACCUCCAUAACAAGAACAGAGACUUGGAAGAAGAGAUUCAAAGAGGAUAAAUAUAUAUUAAAUAGAUUCAACUGCUUAUUUGGGAAGAUCUUUACUAUACUAGAUACUGUUUUACUUUGUCUUAACAUAUGUAUUACACUGAUUCAACUUCUUAUCAUAAAUGGAAUAUGGUUGUUUUUUCUGUCAAUAAAUAGAUCCAUGCUUCAUAUUAAGGGAA